rnacentral:rRNA from 1 species
UACGAAGGGGGCUAGCGUUGCUCGGAAUUACUGGGCGUAAAGCGCACGUAGGCGGCUUCUUAAGUCGGUGGUGAAAUCCUGGAGCUCAACUCCAGAACUGCCUUCGAUACUGGGAGCUCGAGUCCGGGAGAGGUGAGUGGAACUGCGAGUGUAGAGGUGAAAUUCGUAGAUAUUCGCAAGAACACCAGUGGCGAAGGCGCUCACUGGCCCGGUACUGACGCUGAGGUGCGAAAGCGUGGGGAGCAAACAGG